AUACGUAGGGUGCAAGCGUUGUCCGGAAUUAUUGGGCGUAAAGAGCUCGUAGGCGGUCUGUUGCGUCGGCUGUGAAAACCCGGGGCUCAACUCCGGGCCUGCAGUCGAUACGGGCAGACUAGAGUUCGGCAGGGGAGACUGGAAUUCCUGGUGUAGCGGUGAAAUGCGCAGAUAUCAGGAGGAACACCGGUGGCGAAGGCGGGUCUCUGGGCCGAUACUGACGCUGAGGAGCGAAAGCGUGGGGAGCGAACA
rnacentral:rRNA from 1 species